rnacentral:rRNA from 1 species
CGUGCAGGUGUGUGUUCCAGGUAAAUCCGGUUCACUUUAACACUGAGGCGUGAUGACGAGGCACCACGGUGCUGAAGCAACAAAUGCCCUGCUUCCAGGAAAAGCCUCUAAGCCUCAGGUAACAUCAAAUCGUACCCCAAACCGACACAGGUGGUCAGGUAGAGAAUACCAAGGCGCUUGAGAGAACUCGGGUGAAGGAACUAGGCAAAAUGGUGCCGUAACUUCGGGAGAAGGCACGCUGACACGUAGGUGAAGUGGUUUACCCAUGGAGCUGAAGUCAGUCGAAGAUACCAGCUGGCUGCAACUGUUUAUUAAAAACACAGCACUGUGCAAACACGAAAGUGGACGUAUACGGUGUGACGCCUGCCCGGUGCCGGAAGGUUAAUUGAUGGGGUCAGCGCAAGCGAAGCUCCUGAUCGAAGCCCCGGUAAACGGCGGCCGUAACUAUAACGGUCCUAAGGUAGCGAAAUUCCUUGUCGGGUAAGUUCCGACCUGCACGAAUGGCGUAAUGAUGGCCAGGCUGUCUCCACCCGGGACUCAGUGAAAUUGAACUCGCUGUGAAGAUGCAGUGUACCCGCGGCAAGACGGAAAGACCCCGUGAACCUUUACUAUAGCUUGACACUGAACACUGGUCCUUGAUGUGCAGGAUAGGUGGGAGGCUUUGAAGUGUGGACGCCAGUCUGCAUGGAGCCAUCCUUGAAAUACCACCCUUUAAUGGCUGGUGUUCUAACGUGGGCCCGUGAACCGGGUUGCGGACAGUGUCUGGUGGGUAGUUUGACUGGGGCGGUCUCCUCCUAAAGAGUAACGGAGGAGCACGAAGGUUGGCUAAUCCUGGUCGGACAUCAGGAGGUUAGUGCAAUGGCAUAAGCCAGCUUGACUGCGAGCGUGACGGCGCGAGCAGGUGCGAAAGCAGGUCAUAGUGAUCCGGUGGUUCUGAAUGGAAGGGCCAUCGCUCAACGGAUAAAAGGUACUCCGGGGAUAACAGGCUGAUACCGCCCAAGAGUUCAUAUCGACGGCGGUGUUUGGCACCUCGAUGUCGGCUCAUCACAUCCUGGGGCUGAAGUAGGUCCCAAGGGUAUGGCUGUUCGCCAUUUAAAGUGGUACGCGAGCUGGGUUUAGAACGUCGUGAGACAGUUCGGUCCCUAUCUGCCGUGGGCGCUGGAAGAUUGAGGGGGGCUGCUCCUAGUACGAGAGGACCGGAGUGGACGCAUCACUGGUGUU